CCUACGGGAGGCAGCAGUGAGGAAUAUUGGUCAAUGGGCGGAAGCCUGAACCAGCCAAGUAGCGUGCGGGAUGAAGGCCCUACGGGUCGUAAACCGCUUUUGCACGGGGAUAACACCCUCCACUUGUGGAGGUCUGCAGGUACCGUGCGAAUAAGGGCCGGCUAAUUCCGUGCCCGCAGCCGCGGUAAUACGGAAGGCCCGGGCGUUAUCCGGAUUUAAUGGGCUUAAAGGGAGCGGAGGCGGGCGGGCAAGUCCGCUGGGAAAUCUCCGGGCUUAACCCGGGCCCCGAGGUGGAAACUGGACGCCUUGAGUGCACAACAGGCAGGCGGAAUUCGUGGUGUAGCGGUGAAAUGCAUAGAUAUGACGAGGAACCCCGAUUGCGAAGGCAGCCUGCUGGGGUGCGACUGACGCGGAGGCUCGAAGGUGCGGGUAUCAAACAGGAUUAGAUACCCGGGUAGUC
rnacentral:rRNA from 1 species